GAUGAACGCUGGCGGCGUGCCUAAUACAUGCAAGUAGAACGCUGAAGGAAGGAGCUUGCUCUUUCCGGAUGAGUUGCGAACGGGUGAGUAACGCGUAGGUAACCUGCCUGGUAGCGGGGGAUAACUAUUGGAAACGAUAGCUAAUACCGCAUAACAGUAGAUGUUGCAUGAUAUCUACUUAAAAGGUGCAAUUGCACCACUACCAGAUGGACCUGCGUUGUAUUAGCUAGUUGGUGAGGUAACGGCUCACCAAGGCGACGAUACAUAGCCGACCUGAGAGGGUGAUCGGCCACACUGGGACUGAGACACGGCCCAGACUCCUACGGGAGGCAGCAGUAGGGAAUCUUCGGCAAUGGACGGAAGUCUGACCGAGCAACGCCGCGUGAGGGAAGAAGGGUGUCGGAUCGUAAAGCUCUGUUGUAAGAGAAGAACGAGUGUGAGAGUGGAAAGUUCACACUGUGACGGUAUCUUAACAGAAAGGGACGGCUAACUACGUG
rnacentral:rRNA from 1 species